rnacentral:rRNA from 1 species
UCUUUUCAUUGUGUGCCAGCCGCCGCGGUAAUACGUAGGGAGCGAGCGUUGUCCGGAAUGACUGGGUGUAAAGGGAGCGUAGGCGGGAUGGCAAGUCAGAUGUGAAACCUGAGGGCUCAACCUUCAGACUGCAUUUGAAACUGCUGUUCUUGAGUGAAGUAGAGGUAAGCGGAAUUCCUGGUGUAGCGGUGAAAUGCGUAGAGAUCAGGAGGAACAUCGGUGGCGAAGGCGGCUUACUGGGCUUUUACUGACGCUGAGGCUCGAAAGCGUGGGGAGCAAACAGG